GUUGUUGAGUUAAAAGCUCGUAGUCGAAUUUCUGGCCGAGAGAAGCCGAAUACACUGUGCUUUCUCUUAGGUCAUCCGCCUUUGAGGCUAUACGGACAUUAAUUUGCUCCUGUAGCGGAUUGGGCAUUUUACUUUGAAGAAAUUAGAGUGUUCAAAGCAUGCUUACGCUUGAAUACGCCAGCAUGGAAUAAUGGAAUAGGACUAGUUUUAUUUCUUGGUUCGUAAAACUAGUAAUGAUUAAUAGGGACAGUUGGGGGCAUUUGAAUUAGUGUGUCAGAGGUGAAAUUCUUCGAUUACACUAGGUCAAACUAAUGCGAAGGCAUCUGCCAAGGAUGUUUUCAUUGAUCAAGAACGAAAGACAGGGGAUCAAAGACGAUUAGAUACCGUCGUAGUCCUGUCCGUAAACUAUGCCAUUCCGGGAUUGGUAGAGCAAUAACUCUAUCAGCACCGUGUGGGAAACCAUUGAAACUUUGGGUUCUGGGGGGAGUAUGGUCGCAAGGCUGAAACUUAAAGGAAUUGACGGAAGGGCACACCAGUAGUGGAGCCUGCGGCUUAAUUUGAUUCAACACGGGAAAACUUACCAGGGCAAGAGAGUUGUAGGAUUGACAGCUUGAGAGUGCUUUCUUGAUCUGCUCGUUCUUGGUGCAUGGCCGUUCUUAGUUGGUGGAGUGAUUUGUCAGGUUAAUUCCCUUAACGAACGAGACCUUAACCUGCUAACUAGUCGUCGUUACCUAUUAGCGAUUGGCUUCUUAGAGGGACUAUUACGAAAAGUAAUGGAAGUUUGAGGCAAUAACAGGUCCGUGAUGCCAGUAGAUGUCCUGGGCCGCACGCGUGCUACA
rnacentral:rRNA from 1 species